rnacentral:rRNA from 1 species
AGUGAACGCUGGCGGUAGGCCUAACACAUGCAAGUCGAACGGCAGCACAGUAAGAGCUUGCUCUUACGGGUGGCGAGUGGCGGACGGGUGAGGAAUACAUCGGAAUCUACAUUUUCGUGGGGGAUAACGUAGGGAAACUUACGCUAAUACCGCAUACGACCUACGGGUGAAAGCAGGGGAUCUUCGGACCUUGCGCGAUUGAAUGAGCCGAUGUCGGAUUAGCUAGUUGGCGGGGUAAAGGCCCACCAAGGCGACGAUCCAUAGCUGGUCUGAGAGGAUGAUCAGCCACACUGGAACUGAGACACGGUCCAGACUCCUACGGGAGGCAGCAGUGGGGAAUAUUGGACAAAGGGCGCAAGCCUGAUCCAGCCAUACCGCGUGGGUGAAGAAGGCCUUCGGGUUGUAAAGCCCUUUUGUUGGGAAAGAAAAGCAGCAGGUUAAUACCCCGCUGUUCUGACGGUACCCAAAGAAUAAGCACCGGCUAACUUCGUG